UAGCUCAGUUGGUAGAGCAUGGUGUUUGCAUGGUGUUUGCAUGGUGUUUGCAACACCAGGGUUGUGGGUUCGAUUCCCAC
rnacentral:tRNA from 1 species